rfam:Gossypium hirsutum cultivar TM-1 chromosome 2, whole genome shotgun sequence
AGUCCAUGAUGAGGACGUCUUCUCAAUAAAUCAUUAAAUCUCUCUAAUGUAUCAUAAAGUGUUUCAAUAUUAAACUGAACAAAAGAAGAGAUGUCGUUCCUCAACUU